rnacentral:rRNA from 1 species
GAGUGGAAAGGUCUCGGGGACAUAGCGAUAGUAUGGCUAACCAAGCUUUUCAACCUCAUCUUUCGGGCAAACAAGAUGCCAGAAGAAUGGAGACGGACUAUAUUAGUACCAAUCUUCAAGAACAAGGGGGAUGUUCAGAGUUGUUCUAAUUACCGUGGAAUUAAGCUGAUGAGCCAUACAAUGAAGCUAUGGGAGAGAGUCAUUGAGCACCGCUUAAGAAGAAUGACAAGCGUGACCAAAAAUCAGUUUGGUUUCAUGCCUAGGAGGUCGACCAUGGAAGCCAUUUUCUUGGUACGACAACUUAUGGAGAGAGAUAGGGAGCAAACGAAGGACUUGCAUAUGGUGUUCAUUGACUUGGAGAAGGCCUAUGAUAAGAUACCGCGGAAUGUCAUGUGGUGGGCCUUGGAGAAACACAAAGUCCCAACAAAGUACAUUACCCUCAUCAAGGACAUGUACGAUAAUGUUGUGACAAGUGUUCGAACAAGUGAUGUCGACACUGAUGACUUCCCGAUUAAGAUAGGACUGCAUCAGGGGUCAGCUUUGAGCCCUUAUCUUUUUGCAUUGGUGAUGGAUGAGGUCACAAGGGAUAUACAAGGAGAUAUCGCAUGGUGUAUGCUCUUUGCG